AGCCGUUAGAGCUGUUACCAGGCGACGCGUACAGCGAGAAGAAGAAGGCGUUGAACAUGUUUUCAGUGAGAGAAAAGCGACUUUCAGACUGUGUUCAGAAGUGGAUUUAAGAAACUGGCUACACGUUACUGCUUAUUCGAGGCCUCCUCCCCCUCUAACUACGGAAAAAGGGAGCAAAUGCGCCGAGCCACCUCCGAAGAGACGUCCCUCUCUUGCUAAACACUGGGGAAGGAUGCUAGCAUUGAAUCCAGAAAGUGAAAGGCCUCCACAGCAAUGUGCCAGAAUUCAUUCCCCACUCUGAGAAACGUAUUUUCGGACCACAGAUGCUCCACAAAAGACAGGCCCGGUUGGUUCAGCCAGAGUUUGAGACGGAAUUAAACCAGAAAAUGCCUGAAGAGGAAGGACACCGUUCUGAGGAGCUUCAGCACCAACACUCGCCACCUGCAGCUCUUCUAAAGACGCUCCAUAAACGCCAGACCCGGUUGGUUCAGCUGGCGUUUGAGAAGGAUUGAACGCCUGAGUGAAAGGACACUGUUCUUAGGAGGUUCAGCAACAACACUCGCCACCUGCAACUCUUCUAAAGGGUGGAUUUCCCCUCGUGGAGUGCUUGUGGAGCCCCUCUCCUCCGGGGGUAAUCGGCCUGCUGGUGAAGGUUUCGCCGUCUUAAAUGAGGCCGCAAAUUGCUGCACCUCAAUUAUCCCAAUCCCAACUGAUAAUUAGCGUGCCACUCACUUCUUCGCUUGCAGCACGGAGAAAGAGAUUCACACCUGAGCCCAGAUGCCACGAAACAUUGGACUUCUGCAGAAGUCCAGGUCAGUCCUCUCCUACUCAUGUUAACCUGUCGCUUACCUGUGUCCAUCUCAACAACUGCCCACACAGACAGCCUGCGUUUGGCUCGCUUGCAAGAGGUGGUCUCGGGCCAGUUGUUUUGGUCCGCACCAGAGAACGAUUACUGCGUUCACAACUGCCUAAACAAACUGCACUAGAGUUUGAUUAAAACGGACUAAAUGUUGGCUUGUGAAAGCUUCCUAAGUUAUUGAUCCAGCAUGAGCCUCCAGAACAAUAUUCUUCAAGUCUAUGUAGCUCUACUAGAGGGAUGAAUACCAUUCUUCCAGAAAGAAAAAUGCUAUCAGCCUCCCCAAAAUAUUAAGAGCACUUCCACCCUGCUUCCCUGUUAACAUCUGGCGCAGAUGUUCUCCCUCUAGUACUCAGUCCUGUGCCAGAAACCGUUGCAUCAUCAGGGCGUGCAUCUCUGGCAGGAACACCAAACUGGUUCUUCCUUGUCAUGUGUUAAUUAUGCCUGCUUGGCUUGCCUGUUGAGACACUACCUGUACUGUACUGCACUAUAAGUUGUUUAUGUCAAUCGUCGGUUCAUGUAGUUCUGCACCUAAUAGAUCAUACAAGUGCAACAACUCUGGCACAUCUUUCUGGCAAUGCACCCAGAAAAUGUCACAUAAAUCCAAGUCUUACUAUUCAUCAGACAUUGCUGAAGGCAUCUCUGAAAACAACAGCCAGAGAUUUGAUCUGACCUCGUGCUACCAGAUCAAGAGAUGAAAGCAGACCAGCAUAUUGCCUCUCAGUUUUUUUUUUGUUUUUGUUCCGUAGAGGUAGCUGGCUGCGGUUAAGUAAUGAACCCUUUUGAAACGAGGCCAGUGUUACCUGUGUUUGCGGAGCACUUAGGGCCAUUGCCGGCUUGCGCACCAUUUGCUUAUCUUUGGGGUGAGUAAUGUGUGUUUGUGUGUCUGUGGUUGAAGCCUGGCCCUGGCUGAAGUCAUCAAUCACCGCAACCCUGGGGCUGGUUGACUCAUGUGGCCUAUUGGGAGUGAGGGUCCUUGGAUUAAGAGUGGGAGAGAGAGAGAGUGCAUGUUAGAGGGAGAUAGACGGAGACAGACUGGCAUGCAUUUAUGUAAAGUGUGCGUGUUUCUGAGUUAUAGAAGCUGCGUUGAUGGUCACCCUCAUUUGUUUAGUCAAACUUGUGGAUGAGUCUGCUAUGUGAUCAAAUCAGCUACGGUUUGCACGAUGUAAAUGCUGACAACAGCAGCAUUGUGCAGUGUGUUUACAAGCGUAAACAAAGAAGACAGAAAAAUACACCUCGUUCUGAUGAUCUUUAGACACACUGGCUAAAUUUUCCACGCGCAUUCAAUAAACCUGCAGCUUCUCCUCUGCCUGCUCUUGUAUCUGUAGCACCUUAACACGAGUGGACAGGGCUGAAGUGGAAAGUGAAUCCUUUUAAAUCCAGUUAAGCUUGCUUUUUAUCUGUGGAGCAGAGUUUGGACAGCUUUUCAGACGGAGGUAAAUCUUUGACAAAAAUUAAUAGCGCAGGCCCACAUGACAGGAUUGCAGGUUGUAAGAGGUUUGAGUCUUUUAAGGCAAAUGCAUAAUUAUUUUGAUAACGUAUAUUUUAUUUUUGUCCCACCUUCUGAAUAUUUUAUUACAGGACAAAAUGUUAUAUCACACUUAAUAUUCACUACCUGCAACUCUAGUCAACUUGGAUUCACAGUAUUUACGAUGGCAUCUGAGACCCAGACUGAAAUAUCACAACUAUUAGAUGAAUUGUCAUGACAUUUUGCAGAGACAUUCGUGGCCCCCAGAGGAUGAAUCCUAUUGACUUUGAUGAACCCCUGACUUUUCCCUUAGCACCACCAUGAGGUUGACUUAUGGCUGUUGCGGUGAAGGAAUUUCCCCUGCAGUGAUAAUGAUCGGCUCAAAAGAGUGAUAUGUGGUAUUAUUGCAACUUUUGCAAGAUCAUUUUAGUGACAAACCGCUCCUCCGAGUUUUACUAUGUUUGGCACGUGCAAACUGCAGAUCGAUGUUGCCCAGUCAAAAUUGUCCUUGCUGUUACUCAACAAGAUCUAGUCAUCUUCAUGUCACAUGAGUGAAGGAUGAUUUUACUACCAUGAUUGGAGCAGUGACAAAACCCUCUCUAGAACCACCUUUGCUCAGAGAAAGAGGUCUAUGAAGGGAUGUUGUAUCUCGAUAUGUAUAGGUAAGUAUAACCAGCUACAGUAUAUACCCUUUAUGGAAAGGCUACGUGUUGAAUGCAACGUUCCAAUCUCAGGGAGGGAUUCUCAGCUGUGUUGUUAACACAAAGACAGGGACUAUAAAUCAUACCAAUGCCACCAGGCAGGAUACAGAAAUAACAAAUGCUGCAUAGAUGUGUGCGUCUGUGCGUCUGUAUGUGUUGAUGUUUUACAAAGAUAAUCUACGAUGGCUCAGGGUGUCCCCUAACAAGUGGAUCACGUUGUCCUGCUGAAUAUUUUUGAACAAGAUGUUUAGCAUGCCAGUCAUCCAUCCAUGUACAGCUGAACAUUUAAAGCGACUGCCACUCAUUUCCCAAUUGAAGUAAUGUAGUCGCCACAACAUCAUUAUAAGAUACUGUGUAUGUGACACUCAAAUAAAAAUGGCACGUGGCUACCU